GGGUGCUUGGCCAAGGUUCGGCCAAGUGUGAAGAUGCUCGGCCAAGGCUUGGCCAAGCGUGAAGGGGCUUGGCCAAGGCUCGGCCAUCCCUCCAAGCAAGUGAUUGGCUCGAUCCUUGAUCUUGGUCUUGGUAGGACCCUCCUUCGGUAGCUUCCGAGCCCGGACCUCUUCUUGGUGGUGGGAUUUGACGGUGGUGUAUGAGGGAGGUCCGCAACAUUCCCCCUCCCUUGAAAACUAUCCUUGUCCUCAAGGAUAAAGUUUGGAUACCACCGAGGAACCUUGGCAUAGUCUUCUCAAGCAUCCUUCCUCCCC
rnacentral:lncRNA from 1 species